rnacentral:rRNA from 1 species
AUUGAACGCUGGCGGCAGGCCUAACACAUGCAAGUCGAGCGGAAGCACGGAGCUUGCUCCUGGACCCAGCGGCGGACGGGUGAGUAAUGCCUAGGAAUAUGCCUGGUAGUGGGGGAUAACGUCCGGAAACGGGCGCUAAUACCGCCUACGUCCUGAGGGUGAAAGUGGGGGAUCUUCGGACCUCACGCUCUCAGAUGAGCCUAGGUCGGAUUAGCUAGUUGGUGGGGUAAAGGCUUACCAAGGCGACGAUCCGUAGCUGGUCUGAGAGGAUGAUCAGCCACACUGGAACUGAGACACGGUCCAGACUCCUACGGGAGGCAGCAGUGGGGAAUAUUGGACAAUGGGCGAAAGCCUGAUCCAGCCAUGCCGCGUGUGUGAAGAAGGUCUUCGGAUUGUAAAGCACUUUAAGUGGGGAGGAAAGGCAGUAAGUUAAUACCUUGCGGGUGUGACGGUACCAGCAGAAUAAGCACCGGCUAACUACGUG